rnacentral:lncRNA from 1 species
GGACGACUCCGUAGCUUUAUCACCGAAAAACAAGUCCUCUGGAAUCCCCUGAGAGAGUCGACUCCGCGCUUUCUGGGGACGUCUCGGGAAGUUUGCUUGUUAUGCGUGGGGACGACUCCGCGUCCUUCGGAGACGACUCGCGCGCUUCCCUUGAGUUUGGUCUUUCUGCCGCCUCUGAGAGAGUCGACUCCGCAAAGUCGGGAGUCGACUCCGACCCUGCGAGACGCCUCGCCAGGUGCCGGGGACGUCUCCAAACGUGCCAAUUCUUCCUGUUCGUGCCAGAGACGUCUCUGGGACAAACCAGAGACGUCUCGGCUGUCCCUGAUCUGUUUUCUUCAUCUCAAAAAUUCUUCAAUAAAUCCUUGAAAAAUAUGGGAACUUGCCUAGACAUUUCUUAACAAUAUUCUUAAUUAAACACCUGAAAUCCUCAAAUAAAUUGUUAAGAUAAAGAGAAUUAUACUCUAGUGUU